AACGUAGGAGACAAACGUUAUCCGGAGUUACUGGGCGUAAAGGGCGUGUAGGCGGUUUCGUAAGUCUGGCGUGAAAUUUUUCGGCUUAACCGGGAAAGGUCGUCGGAUACUGCGGAGCUAGAGGACGGUAGAGGCGUGUGGAAUUCCGGGUGUAGUGGUGAAAUGCGUAGAGAUCCGGAGGAACACCAGUGGCGAAGGCGACACGCUGGGCCGUACCUGACACUGAUGCGCGACAGCAUGGGGAGCAAACAGG
rnacentral:rRNA from 1 species